CCUACGGGAGGCAGCAGUAGGGAAUUUUCCGCAAUGGGCGAAAGCCUGACGGAGCAAUACCGCGUGAGGGAUGACGGCCUGUGGGUUGUAAACCUCUUUUCUCAAGGAAGAAGUUCUGACGGUACUUGAGGAAUAAGCAUCGGCUAACUCUGUGCCAGCAGCCGCGGUAAUACAGAGGAUGCAAGCGUUAUCCGGAAUCACUGGGCAUAAAGCGUCUGUAGGUCGUUUAGUAAGUCUGCUGUUAAAGACUGGGGCUUAACCCCAGAAAAGCAGUGGAAACUGCUAGACUCGAGUGUGGUAGAGGUAGAGGGAAUUCCUAGUGUAGCGGUGAAAUGCGUAGAUAUUGGGAAGAACACCAAUGGCGAAGGCACUCUACUGGGCCAUAACUGACACUGAGAGACGACAGCUAGGGGAGCAAACGGGAUUAGAUACCCCGGUAGUCCUAGCCGUAAACGAUGGAUACUAGAUGUUGCACGUAUUAACCCGUGCAGUAUCGUAGCUAAGGCGUUAAGUAUCCCGCCUGGGAAGUACGCUCGCAAGAGUGAAACUCAAAUGAAUUGACGG
rnacentral:rRNA from 1 species